rnacentral:rRNA from 1 species
GCAGCGACGCAGCGUGCGGGAUGACGGCCUUCGGGUUGUAAACCGCUUUCAGCAGGGAAGAAGCGCAAGUGACGGUACCUGCAGAAGAAGUACCGGCUAACUACGUGCCAGCAGCCGCGGUAAUACGUAGGGKACGAGCGUUGUCCGGAAUUAUUGGGCGUAAAGAGCUCGUAGGUGGUUGGUCACGUCUGCUGUGGAAACGCAACGCUUAACGUUGCGCGUGCAGUGGGUACGGGCUGACUAGAGUGCAGUAGGGGAGUCUGGAAUUCCUGGUGUAGCGGUGAAAUGCGCAGAUAUCAGGAGGAACACCGGUGGCGAAGGCGGGACUCUGGGCUGUAACUGACACUGAGGAGCGAAAGCAUGGGGAGCGAACAGGAUUAGAUACCCUGGUAGUCCAUGCCGUAAACGUUGGGCACUAGGUGUGGGGGGCAUUCCACGUUCUCCGCGCCGUAGCUAACGCAUUAAGUGCCCCGCCUGGGGAGUACGG